CUGCCUUCAUUUCUUGGGCAUCCUAUUCCCAUGGUAUGGUGGAGGUGAAUUUUGAUGGAUUGGCAUCAACAAUGCUAGAUUCAUAGUUUCCCUUCAAUGGCAUAGAAAAGCCACUGAUGCGUUUCAGCUAGCCUUUUUUUUCCUCAAUAGGACGCCAUAAUUACAUUGCCUGCUAUAGAUACAUCCAAUGGAGUUAUAUUAC
rnacentral:lncRNA from 1 species